UACGUAGGGGGCAAGCGUUGUUCGGAUUCAUUGGGCGUAAAGGGCGCGUAGGCGGCUUUUCAAGUGACGGGUGAAAUCCCUCGGCUUAACCGAGGAACUGCCUGUCAGACUGGAAGGCUUGAGACCGGGAGAGGUGAGUGGAAUUCCCAGUGUAGCGGUGAAAUGCGUAGAUAUUGGGAGGAACACCAGUGGCGAAGGCGGCUCACUGGACCGGAACUGACGCUGAGGCGCGAAAGCGUGGGGAGCAAACAGG
rnacentral:rRNA from 1 species